GCGGCCUAUCAGCUUGUUGGUGAGGUAAUGGCUCACCAAGGCAACGACGGGUAGCCGGCCUGAGAGGGCGACCGGCCACACUGGGACUGAGACACGGCCCAGACUCCUACGGGAGGCAGCAGUGGGGAAUAUUGGGCAAUGGACGCAAGUCUGACUCAGCGACGCCGCGUGCGGGAUGAAGGCCUUCGGGUUGUAAACCGCUUUCAGCAGGGAAGAAGCGAAAGUGACGGUACCUGCAAAAGAAGCACCGGCUAACUAUGUGCCAGCAGCCGCGGUAAUACAUAGGGUGCAAGCGUUGUCCGGAAUUAUUGGGCGUAAAGAACUCGUAGGUUGUUAGUUACGUCGGGUGUGAAACUCUGGGGCUCAACCCCAGACCUGCAUUCGAUACGGGUGAACUAGAGUUUGGUAGGGGAGACUGGAAUUCCU
rnacentral:rRNA from 1 species